AAAAUAUAUAAAACAUAAAAUCAGAAACAAAUAUAUAAUAGUAUAAAAAUGAUCAUUACGAGAUAUAAAAUACGACAAAUCCAAAAAAGAAAAACGUAAAACAAAAAAAAUAAAUUAUGACAAUAUAUAAAGAGAUAAUGUAAACAAUUAAAAAUACAACAAUCCGCUCGAAACCCACAAAUUAUGAUCAAAUUUCAUGCCAACAUAUAAAAGGGCCAAAAAUAUUAACAUC
rnacentral:lncRNA from 1 species